UACCAAUUAUAGUGUACAUUUAUUUUUUCAUUUUUUAUGCAUAUCAUAAUACAGGAGUUAUUUGCUUAACAAAAAAAAUUGCCCAUGGCCAGGCUGUACUACUGUAAUGUGCUACCCCAGGGUUUUGAUAUUGGGUCUUUAGCAUACUGGGAUGAAGGCUAGGAAGUUUGUUGAAAUGAAUGAUGACCUUGACUAUGAUUUAAGCUUGAAAUAGUUUGAUUGGCCAAAAUAUUUAAAAGACAGCUUCCUUAACUGCUAGGCCAUGAGAUCUUAUAUAUGGUCUCCGAUACACGUUCUUACUUAUGUUUAUGUAUAAAAAGGAUCACUGGUCGAUAGCAGGCGAGUGAUUCAGGACUUAUUGGGAUUUAUUGCCCUGUGAACAGCCAGAGUCAUUUUGAGGGGGUAUUGCCUUGUAGUAGUUGGUGACUACCUCACUGAACACAACAUAUGUAAGGUCCGUUGUAUGCCAUCCUGAGCAGUUAGGGUAAAGUGUCUGGCCCAAGGACACAACUACAAUGACUUCCUUACUAUAGUCAACAGUGACAGAGGACCCAUGGCCAAAACUGGAGCUACUUUGGAAAUUUUUAACCAAUCAUCACCUGAAUUGUAGAAGUGUUUUUAGAAUGACUAGACCAUAAGAUUUCAUACUCAGGAAAUGGUGAAUUCUUCCUAAGAUAAUGAAAUAGGCUGAUAACAUAGCUAUACAAGAGCCUACACCGUAAACUUGGUUACCUUAUGUUUUUCGGAUUUUAAAAUUGUUUACCUUAGCUAAUGUCAGCAGAAAACACCAUAAGAAGUAAGCAGAAUUGAGUCACGAUAAGCUUGUUGUCAAAAUAAAAAUUGAUUGCGAGGUAUACUUUUAAUUUACAGUAAGGGAGUGUCGGAAGUGUUAUGAUGCCUAUUUUAAAAAUCCUCAUUAUAUCUGAUAUUUUCAAGUGAUUUUUACAUUAUUAUUACCAUUGCUGAAUUUCUCUUUGUCUCAAUUUUAAGAAGUACUGGAUGUGCUCUUAUACAGUUUUGUUUUGAAUUAAACCAAUUGUUCUGAAAUGUGGAUAUCUAUUUUUAGACAACUUACAACAAUCAUAAGUAGUAGUCCGCCAAGGUGGUAUCUCAUGUAUUUGAAAAAAAAAAAAAAAAUAUGCCAAUAAAUUGACAUUUAACAUAAAGAACUAUGAUUUUGUAGGUGUUCAUUAGUACCUGAAGUAUUUAUGAAAUGUAUACAAUAUGCGUUGUCUUCAUACAUUUUGUAGAUGUUUGGAAUUGUUACAUUUUGCCAAGCAACUAAAAUUUACGUCAUCUAUUUUUAACUAGAUGGGAUAUUCAACAGUGAAGAGCUAUGUUGUAUGUUUGUAACUGUUUCUUCACAGAAAAGGCUAUAUACAAAUGUUUAAUCUAAAAUACAGUUGUGUAUGCCACAAUUUAACCUCUGCAGAAUUUCAGAAUGGCUGCCAGUGGCCAUUUGUUUGCCUCCAAUUGUUUGGUGUUGACUUUUUGUAAAGUAGGCAGUUUGUGUAUGGUAGUCUCUUUGUCUAAAGUAAAGUUUAUUCUGGUAAUUUUGAAUGUUCUUAUGUUUGGAGUAUGUUUGUUAGGAAAUAUUUCUUGAUUGAAAAAACAUUUGAUUAUUACAGAAUCAUAAUGAUAAGCUUCUGUAUAGCAAAAGCAUAUGAUCUUGAUGUGUGACCUCAGAUAGUGGGUGCCAACAUCUAGGAUAUUUUGUUAACUUUUUUGAUUCAACAUGUUGGUGCCCAUCACCGAAUGAUCUUUAUCAGUUCUAUGUCAGACUGGACUUCUCUCUUCUCAAUAAUCUGAUAACAAGAACAAGUGGAACCUACAUGCUGAAGUUGAGAAACAUCUCUAAGCUCUUUUCAAGAAUAAGUCAAUAACAAACUUUAAUUCUCAAAAUCAAACAUGGCAAACUUUCCGCCAUUUUGUUAUUACCAUUUUUUCCUGAUCAAAAAUCUAAAUUAAAGUGGCACAACUAGGAACCAUUGGGAAUCUACUCGUCACAUUUGAGGAAUAUCCCUCCAGCACUUUUCAAGAAAUAGCCAUAAUAAACUUCAAUUAUCAAAAUCCAAGAUGGCAACUUGUCGGCCAUUUUGUUUUUCAAAUGAAAAUUCUAAGUUGAAUUGGCACAACAAAGGAAAAGGGGAACCUACACCUGAAGUUUGAGGAAUAUCCCCCCUGACUGUAUUUGUUCAUAAAAGUAUUAAUUCAAAAACUGUUUCAAAUUUACCUUAAGUUAAACCUAUUAACCAUUAUUCAGAGCUUUUGAGUUUCCUCAGGUGAAUCCAUUGAUAGAUACAGUAUUUUCUCUCUCUCUCUCUCUCUCUCUUGAGGAGAUUGAAUAAAGGAUUUCAGUGGCGACUCUGUUCUUCACUUUUCAUUAUAAAAUUUGGUUAUACACCACUAUAUUGUAUUUAUUGCCAACUGUUAUACAUUGCUCUCAAUGUUAAAUUAUGUUAUUGGAGGUGUCAUUUUAGGUGUUGCCAUGUAUUGUAUCAGGUUUUUAUGUAAGACGCUUACCUCUAUCUUUAUUUGUAACAUAACCAUCAGGGACAGCUUGUAAAUGUACCAAAAGGUUGUUUAAACAGUUUGGUGAUUUUAAUUCCUCUAUUGUGAAUUUUCCAUUUCUUCAUUGAAAAUCCCUGCUUCCAUAGUCUAUAGCAAAACUCAUGGAUUUCAUUCCCAAUAUAACCAUUUCUAUGAAAGAUGUUGGCUGACAAAAUGAGUCUUUCUUUGGGUGAUAUGAAGAUUGCAUACUUGAUAUUAUUAAAAUGCUUUGUUUGUUAUGUAAGCACGGUAGUUAUCAUUUUGAGAUAUAAAUGCUUCUUAUCUGAGUAAUUUUGUAUUGGAGCUUUACAUGUCUGGUAUAUAUGUAACACAUGGUCAAUGUCUGGUAUAUAUGAUUCUGUAACACACGGUCAAUGUCUGGUAUAUAUGAUUCUGUAACACAUGGUCAAUGUCUGGUAUAUAUGAUUCUGUAACACAUGGUCAAUGUCUGGUAUAUAUGAUUCUGUAACACAUGGUCAAUGUCUGGUAUAUAUGAUUCUGUAACACAUGGUCAAUGUCUGGUAUAUAUGAUUCUGUAACACAUGGUCAAUGUCUGGUAUAUAUGAUUCUGUAACACAUGGUCAAUGUCUGGUAUAUAUGAUUCUGUAACACAUGGUCAAUGUCUGGUAUAUAUGAUUCUGUAACACAUGGUCAAUGUCUGGUAUAUAUGAUUCUGUAACACAUGGUCAAUGUCUGGUAUAUAUGAUUCUGUAACACAUGGUCAAUGUCUGGUAUAUAUGAUUCUGUAACACAUGGUCAAUGUCUGGUAUAUAUGAUUCUGUAACACAUGGUCAAUGUCUGGUAUAUAUGAUUCUGUAACACAUGGUCAAUGUCUGGUAUAUAUGAUUCUGUAACACAUGGUCAAUGUCUGGUAUAUAUGAUUCUGUAACACAUGGUCAAUGUCUGGUAUAUGAUUCUGUAACACAUGGUCAAUGUCUGGUAUAUAUGAUUCUGUAACACAUGGUCAAUGUCUGGUAUAUAUGAUUCUGUAACACAUGGUCAAUGUCUGGUAUAUAUGAUUCUGUAACACAUGGUCAAUGUCUGGUAUAUAUGAUUCUGUAACACAUGGUCAAUGUCUGGUAUAUAUGAUUCUGUAACACAUGGUCAAUGUCUGGUAUAUAUGAUUCUGUAACACAUGGUCAAUGUCUGGUAUAUAUGAUUCUGUAACACAUGGUCAAUGUCUGGUAUAUAUGAUUCUGUAACACAUGGUCAAUGUCUGGUAUAUAUGAUUCUGUAACACAUGGUCAAUGUCUGUGUAUAAAUACUUUAAUUCCCUGUACAACUUGAAUGUGGGCAUAACACCCAAAGUUCCUCCAUUUGUCUGUCAUUCCUGUUAAAGUUAUGGUGAAAUUGACUGUAGUUUUUUUUUUCAAGAAUCUUCAUUGUUGGACAUGGAAACUGAAUUAAAUUCUAUGGUUAUAUCGAUUGGAUACAACAUUGUUACAUAUACUUUGUUGCUGUAAUUAUCCAUCAAAUAAGCCCCCUUUUCUAAUGUAAAAUGGACUUAGUGGAUUUGUUUUAUGGAUCUUGCCAUCAGUCAUUUUGCUGUGGAUGCAUGUCCAAAAAAUAAAGAAGUAUUAUUCUUCCAUUCAUAUUACUUUUCCACAUUUUUAUUGCCAACAUUUGAUGUUUGGAAAAAGUAGUUUUCUUUGUUUGCUUAAAAACACACAUGUUAAGGACAAAGACAUGUCCAAUGAAACGAUCCUAAUUCAUUAUACCAAAUGUAUAUAGUACUCAAAUUAACAUAUCACAGCUCUCCAAAGAAAAACAGCUUAGUGGUCCCUGUUGUUAUUGUCUCUAGAGGCAGAUAAGACUAAAACAUCUUUUCAAAGUUGAUGGCAUCAGAACAUAUUUGUUUUAAUCAAGCAUAGAAUUGCAUGAACAUGUAAUUUUUUUGAAUGGCUGCUAUUUAUAACCAUGAAAUAAAGUAAAUUAUCUACU